rnacentral:tRNA from 1 species
GCCCCCGUAUCCCAACCGGCAGAGGAAGGGGUCUUAAAAACCUCGCAGUGUGGGUUCGAGUCCCACCGGGGGCA